AACAAGCCAUCUGUCCCUGGCGGAAACAGGACUGGGCUGCUGCGACCCCCGAGAUGGUCUCCCUGCGACCACCCGGAACACACCGAGCCUGCACUGAACGAGACCACAGUCGGGCAGAGACUUUGGGAUCCGUUUUUAGCACAACUUCUAUAAAACUUGCUUGGCAUGAGUGGCUAAAUUUGCUGAAGCCUUAGGCCACACUCCCUAGUUUGGUGAGAAAGGGCCCCAGAGCUGGUGCAGGCGGGAACGAUAAGGGAGUUACCAGCAAUUUGCAUUCCUGUGCACUGCUGAAACAGUGCUAAUUGCUGGAGUUACCACCUCUUUGUCAAGACCUUGAGAGAUGAUGGUGGGACCCGAGGAAGGAAGACACACCUAUAGGAUGGAAGACACACCUGUCUGCAGAAACUGCAACAGAAAAGAUAAGGGAGAAAAGAAACAGCCUGCCUAGGAACAACGAUGAGAUCCAAUAAGGAGCAGGAGACCCCAGACUCAAAAAUUACUAUUGGUCUGAACUACCACGUGGGGGGGUGGGAAACUUAAUUUGAAAAAGCUAUAAUUGCCCAGGGAUCUCUUUGUUCAGGGUCCCUCUUUGGAGGUACCCAACUCGAGCUGUAACCACUGCACGCGUGUCAUUCUGAGCUAACCUAGGGUCGGACCCAACUCGAGUUGUAAUUACUGCACGCACACCACCAAAACUUACACCCAGGGUGAAGAGGACCCACCUACCACCAGACGGGAGCCCCCCCACUGCCGAGACUCCCAAAGGAAGACGACCAACAGGACGCCGCUGGAUCCACGGGAACAAAGAGUGCAAGAAUAACUGUGUGAUAGAGGUCAUGACAUUCAUGGGGGAGAAGAAAACUUCAGAAUCAGUUCUCUAACUUAGAACAAGACAGAUGUGGACCAGGGUACCCACAUGAUUUUGAAGAAUGAUUUCACACCUCAUUUUGUGACUUGCUAGCCUCUGUAAUCCCUCUGAGUCUAUGUACAGCAUAGCCUGCAGUGGAGUGAAGAGAAACCUGAGCCAGCAUAGGUGCCAGAAGCAGCAGAGUCCCAACAGCAUUGAGUUCAGCAUGAGUUUAUUCAUCCUACUAAUGUAAUCUCAAUAAGGGAGGAUGGAGACAGUCCUGACUGUACCUUGUGCUGACUCUUCUUCCUCACCAUUUGGAGCUAUUCUGCUUCCUUGCACUGUUUCCAGGUUCAACACAGCCCGUCCCAGUUCCUUUGGUGAAGAGCGGGUGGCGCAGGAGGUUGUGGUUUGUGACAUAUCAAGAAUGAUCUAAUUCUGUGAAGUAAUCAAGAUUCCAAUGUAGGGACAUUACUGGCUGUGAAAGGUACAGACAGUACCAUUUACUUCAGAAGUUCCUGAACUAGACUGGAGAUUGUUAAGCUCUUUAGAGUUCUAGUUUUGCUAUGUUAGUUGACAUUAAGUAAUUAUCACCAUUAGUACUGUUGAUUCAUUCUAGCUUUUAAAUUAUACAAGUUUUCUAAAUAUUUAAAAAUAUGAAUGUUUGAUACAUUAACACAGAAAAGUCAAAGACUUUAUUACUAGAGAAUGUACCCCAAUGAUAACAGCUAAUCAGAGAUCUGUUUUUGCAUUUCUGUCUUCUCUGACUUCAGCAAGAUCUCCCUAAUGCCAUCUUCUUGGAGAUCCUUGCCAAAUAUCACUUUAUCUCCCAUAAUGGAAAUACUCUAGAUUUCAUGCCGCUGUUUCCUUCCUCCUUUGUCAUCUGAAUAUGUUCCAAUUUUGGCUGCAUACAAAACUAUUUCAAUCCCAAUUAAUUCCAAGUGCAAAUAAGGUCAGUCGUUUUUAAGUCAGUUGACUUUCUUCCCCUUGUUCUAUUUGUGAUACUGGCCCUAAAUAUAGCCCAGACCACAGAGAUACCUUUUUUUCUGAAAAAAACAAAACAUACUCUCCUUCUCCAGUCUAACUAGUUUUUCCUUAAGCUAUGACAACGGGGACAGUUCAGUUUCUAUAUAAUAAUAUAUAGGAGACCAGUUUGUUAUAUAUUCUUCUAACAGAAAAUUAGCUGAAUGUUUGUUGAAGCUGAGCAUAGUGGAAGGCUGCGAAUAAGUAGCUGUUGGGUACUUCCAUGUCAAGGUCUGACUUGUGUUAAAUGCAUUGAAUCUUGCAAUAUAGUAAUUUUUCCAAGGAGCUAAUCUAACUUAGUUAUUUGCAUUAAUUGUGUGUCAUUCAGUGAGGAAAAAUAGUUAAAUUUGCUGUGUCAAAUUCAAGCUGUUUAAUACUGAAAAAAACCCCUCUGCUUUCAUUUUUUUCACAAAUAGAGUAAGUAACUUGACUUUAUUUUGUUUAAAUACUGUAAAACAUGUAAGCUUGGCUGUAUCUCCGUUUUCUACUGCAGAAACAUUUACUUUAUUUGGUGAUAUUCCUGUGAAGGCUUAUAAGCAAAAAAUUGAGAUCCUAGUCACAAUGAGGAGAAUUACGGAAAAGGAGAAAAUACAUACCAGGAAAAAAAAAAAAGUGCUUUUAACUCCCAUUAAAUGAUUUAAAAUACUCCCAGUUAAAAUUGAUCGACUGCCUCAUUCCUCUCUGAAUUUUCAAAGACAUUUUAAAAGAAAGCUAUCUUUUUCUAUAUAAAAUAAAUUACAGCUAUCCCAAGCCUUGAAGAUUACUCUUACAAACAGGCAGAAGGAAGAGAUUAAAUGAAACAUAUAAUUUAUAUUUCAUUCAGAAUUUCCUGAGCACUUUUUUUUCUACAGAGAUCACAGAAUAUGGUAAUAAUUGCCUAUUUACUUCUUUUCUAUAUGUUUCAUCAGAUUUAAGAAGCAUAGCGCUGAUCAGAUGUAUUUUUAACCUUCUUUGCUAUGUAAUAAGGGGAUUCGUAAUGGUUUCAUGCUUGGCUGAUGAACAGUAAUGGUGCUUUUGACUUUCUUGGUUAGUUCACAGGUCUUCUGCCUUCAGAGUCCAUCAUACUUGAAGUAGCAUCUGAUUUAUAUUAUCAAACUUGUCAUUAUAAUGUAUGAGAGUUUUCAGAUUGAUUUGGGAUGAAAUAAAUUUUCUCAAGUUAA